rnacentral:rRNA from 1 species
GAUGAACGCUGGCGGCGUGCCUAAUACAUGCAAGUCGAGCGAACGGACGAGAAGCUUGCUUCUCUGAUGUUAGCGGCGGACGGGUGAGUAACACGUGGAUAACCUACCUAUAAGACUGGGAUAACUUCGGGAAACCGGAGCUAAUACCGGAUAAUAUUUUGAACCGCAUGGUUCAAAAGUGAAAGACGGUCUUGCUGUCACUUAUAGAUGGAUCCGCGCUGCAUUAGCUAGUUGGUAAGGUAACGGUUUACCAAGGCAACGAUGCAUAGCCGACCUGAGAGGGAGAUCGGCCACACUGGAACUGAGACACGGUCCAGACUCCUACGGGAGGCAGCAGUAGGGAAUCUUCCGCAAUGGGCGAAAGCCUGACGGAGCAACGCCGCGUGAGUGAUGAAGGUCUUCGGAUCGUAAAACUCUGUUAUUAGGGAAGAACAUAUGUGUAAGUAACUGUGCACAUCUUGACGGUACCUAAUCAGAAAGCCACGGCUAACUACGUG